rnacentral:sRNA from 1 species
CUUCAGAAGCUAAUUGAGGACAUAUGAAAUGAACAUGACAGUCUAUAGCCCCUGCUGUAACAAUCAUUCCUUCUCCAGCAAUCACCUCCGUAUUAACCUGAUAUAUUUUACAGUCAAAAUCCUAAACGCACGAUGUAGGUGAAACAAAAAACAAAACAUAAAUUCCAUCAAUUCAAAUAGCAACUUUUACCCCAAUGAUCAUGUUGGCCGACACACCAUCCAUUAUAUCUGGAUUUCCCGCUUUUCCAAGGGCAAUAAUAUCACCACCCUUUAUACCGAUAUCUGCCUUAAAUAUUCCAGUGUAAUCAAUGAUCGUGGCAUUAGUUAUAACAGUGUCCAGAGAGGCAGCUGAUGGGUACCCAGACGCCUGGCCCAUCCCAUCCCUCAG